UACGUAGGGAGCGAGCGUUGUCCGGAUUUACUGGGUGUAAAGGGCGUGUAGGCGGAGCUGCAAGUCAGAAGUGAAAUCCCCGGGCUCAACCCGGGAACUGCUUUUGAAACUGUAGCCCUUGAGUAUCGGAGAGGCAGGCGGAAUUCCUAGUGUAGCGGUGAAAUGCGUAGAUAUUAGGAGGAACACCAGUGGCGAAGGCGGCCUGCUGGACGACAACUGACGCUGAGGCGCGAAAGCGUGGGGAGCAAACAGG
rnacentral:rRNA from 1 species